rnacentral:rRNA from 1 species
GUGGAAUUUCCGGUGGAGCGGUGAAAUGCGUUGAUAUCGGAAGGAACGCCGAAAGCGAAAGCAGCUAACUACAGAAUACUUGACGAUGAGGGACGACAGUUCGGGUAGCAAACAGGAUUAGAUACCCUGGUAGUCCGAACCGUAAAUUAUGCUUGCUAGAUGUUUUUGUCAAUUUAUUGGCAGAAGUGUCGUAAUCUAACGAGUUAAGCAAGUCGCCUGGGUAGUAUAUUCGCAAGAAUGAAACUCAAAGGGAUAGGCGGGGGAACACACAAGCAGUGGAUUAUCUAGAUUAAUUGGAUAAUAAGCCAAGAAUCUUACCUAGGAUUGACAUGUAUUGUGUCUGCGGUGAAAGUCGCAUAUCCGUAGCAAUACGGAGCUUUACACAGAUGGUGCAUGGUCGUCGUCAGCUCGUGCCGCAAGGUGUCUAGUUAAGUCUGGAAACGAGCGCAACCCUCAUGCUUAGUUAGUAUGUCUAAGCAGACUGCUCGGGUAACCGAGAGGAAGGAGAGGAUGACGUCAGAUCCUCAUGCCUCUUACACCUAGGGCCUCAUAGAUAAUACAAUGGGUAGGUACAGCGAGAAGCAAGACCGCGAGGUGGAGCAAAUCUUUAAAACUACCCCUAGUUCGGAUUGUAGUCUGGAACUCGACUACAUGAAGUUGGAAUUGCUAGUAAUGGCAGAUCAGCCAUGCUGCCGUGAAUAUGUCCCUGUUCCUUGCACUCACCGCCCGUCAAACCAUGGGAGCUGAGGUUCUUUGAAGACUCAUUAUAUGGGUUAAGGAGGAAAUCAGUGACUGGGGUUAAGUCGUAACAAGGCAUCCCUACCGGAAGGUGGGGAUA